rnacentral:rRNA from 1 species
UGGGGAAUAUUGGACAAUGGGCGCAAGCCUGAUCCAGCCAUGCCGCGUGAGUGAUGACGGCCUUAGGGUUGUAAAGCUCUUUCGCUCGGGACGAUAAUGACGGUACCGAGAUAAGAAGCCCCGGCUAACUUCGUGCCAGCAGCCGCGGUAAUACGAAGGGGGCUAGCGUUGUUCGGAAUUACUGGGCGUAAAGCGCGUGUAGGCGGGUCUUUAAGUCAGGGGUGAAAUGCCAAGGCUCAACCUUGGAACUGCCUUUGAUACUGGAGAUCUUGAGUCCGGGAGAGGUGAGUGGAAUUGCGAGUGUAGAGGUGAAAUUCGUAGAUAUUCGCAAGAACACCAGUGGCGAAGGCGGCUCACUGGCCCGGAACUGACGCUGAGACGCGAAAGCGUGGGGAGCAAACAGGAUUAGAUACCCCCGUAGUCC